AAUGGUCUGAGAGAGCUUCCUUCAGCCCACUCAUGGAUGAGAAUUGGGGUUGAAUUAGCUGCCACCUCAUUCAUCCAAUCACUCAGUAGAAAAGAUUACGCUUUGUGCUACUGUGAUCGAGUGAAUGAUGCGGGAGAUAGUUUUCUAUCCCGCUCUUUCUUUGCUUGGACUGAAGGGAGCUCCCUUUUUCUAUUAC
rfam:Ipomoea nil DNA, scaffold: scaffold1407, cultivar: Tokyo-kokei standard.